rnacentral:rRNA from 1 species
GUCUACGGCCAUACCACCCUGAACACGCCCGAUCUCAUCUGAUCUCGGAAGCUAAGCAGGGUCGGGCCUGGUUAGUACUUGGGUGGGAGACUGCCUGGGAAUACCAGGUGCUGUAGGCUUUG